rnacentral:rRNA from 1 species
UACGUAGGGGGCAAGCGUUGUCCGGAAUCAUUGGGCGUAAAGAGCGUGUAGGCGGCCCGGUAAGUCCGCUGUGAAAGUCCAGGGCUCAACCCUGGGAUGCCGGUGGAUACUGUCGGGCUCGAGUCCCGGAGAGGAGAGUGGAAUUCCUGGUGUAGCGGUGAAAUGCGUAGAUAUCGGGAGGAACACCUGUGGCGAAAGCGGCGCACUGGACCACAACUGACGCUGAGGCGCGAAAGCUAGGGGAGCAAACAGG